rnacentral:lncRNA from 1 species
AUUUUCAAAACAAUAGGGCAUUGACUUAGUCCCAUUUCUUCUGUCAUGAGAGGCCAUUAGCAGACCAACAAAACCAGCAUAACAUUGCAGCAGGAAGUGGUUUCACCUUGUCCCCACCUUGCAUUUUCUGUUCAGCAGCAUACCACAGCAACUUCACUCACUUCCCAACCUUUGCCUUGCUAACAUGGCCUGCAAUCUACCAUAGACCAACCUAACAGAAAGACCAACCAACCUCCCAUUCUCCAUAACCUCACUUGCAUUUUGCCAAGCCUUAUGCCUUGCAUUUCC